UCAGGCCUAACACAUGCAAGUCGAACGGUAACAUUUCUAGCUUGCUAGAAGAUGACGAGUGGCGGACGGGUGAGUAAUGCUUGGGAACUUGCCUUUGCGAGGGGGAUAACAGUUGGAAACGACUGCUAAUACCGCAUAAUGUCUACGGACCAAACGGGGCUUCGGCUCCGGCGCAAAGAGAGGCCCAAGUGAGAUUAGCUAGUUGGUAAGGUAACGGCUUACCAAGGCGACGAUCUCUAGCUGUUCUGAGAGGAAGAUCAGCCACACUGGGACUGAGACACGGCCCAGACUCCUACGGGAGGCAGCAGUGGGGAAUAUUGCACAAUGGGGGAAACCCUGAUGCAGCCAUGCCGCGUGUGUGAAGAAGGCCUUCGGGUUGUAAAGCACUUUCAGUUGUGAGGAAAAGUUAGUAGUUAAUACCUGCUAGCCGUGACGUUAACAACAGAAGAAGCACCGGCUAACUCCGUGCCAGCAGCCGCGGUAAUACGGAGGGUGCGAGCGUUAAUCGGAAUUACUGGGCGUAAAGCGCACGCAGGCGGUUUGUUAAGCUAGAUGUGAAAGCCCCGGGCUCAACCUGGGAUGGUCAUUUAGAACUGGCAGACUAGAGUCUUGGAGAGGGGAGUGGAAUUCCAGGUGUAGCGGUGAAAUGCCUAGAUAUCUGGAGGAACAUCAGUGGCGAAGGCGACUCCCUGGCCAAUGU
rnacentral:rRNA from 1 species